rnacentral:tRNA from 1 species
UAGCUCAGUUGGUAGAGCAUCUCCUUUACACGGAGGGGGUCAUCAGUUCGAAUCUG